UUCAGUUUGUUCCUGCAUAAAUCUUUUUAGUACUAAACUGCUUUGGAAUUAAUUUUUUUGGGGGACAACAGCAGGAUUACAGCCAUCUUCUAGAUGCCAUCAGGUAGGUGCGCUGGCGUAGGUGUUUGUUGUAGCAUUAUUAUUCCUAUUCCCCCCUUUUAAAAAUGUUUGUAAGACGCCUGAAAUUUGUAUAAGUUAGUUAUAUAAGUAGUUGAAUAAGAAUUGGUGAGACUUGGAAAAUAGAAGAGGACAGAGAAGAUGGAAGAGGAUUGCUUUGAAAUAGAAGGAAAGGAGAUAGAAAUGUUUGAGGAAAGGAGGGGGAUUUUGUUGUAACUGUAUUAAGAUGUUAUUGGUAUCUUGGAUAUCAAGUUUCAUUUAUUUAUGUAUUAUACAAGCAUAUCUAUUGGUGGGAAUGUAGGAUGGCAGCUGUUAUAACAACUUGGAUGAAUUAUUAGAAACACCAAAGAAAUUUUGACAUAAUUUAAACUGGGGAAAGGAAAAGGCUCACAAAUGACCAAUUUAUUCUACAGUAGAUACAGGACAUUAAAUUGACUUCAACAACGCAGAUAUCUCUCAAAAAUGAUAUCUAUCUGUUCGAGUGAUGUACUGGGCGUUAACAGUUGCUUCACAAAUCUGCAAAUGAGUUCGAACUGUACAUAAGUUUGAUGAAUGCCAAGGAAUUUUUUGAAUGGAAUGAUACUGAAAAUCUUGCCCACAAAUGACAAUUUCAAGAUACAAUCAAUAGUACUUGGUUGAUUGGCCUUCAUUACCAUUGCGCUAUGAAAAUGUGAGCUGAAGAAAUUGAUGGUAAUGGACAUUUUGACAGCUGCAGUCACAACUCGAGGAACAAAUUUUUGAUUGGAUACAGAAAAAUGUCAGUUGUUUCAGGAUGUAAAGUUAAUAGAACCAGGGUUGGGCUGGACAUCUGUUGCCUUUUAUUAAUGGUAUACGAAAGGACAAUUACUAUUAGAAACAAAUAAGUUCUACUAGCUGCAACUAAUAUUUAUGGUGGUCAUAAAAGAGAUUUAAAUGAAAUGAAACACUUGCGCAGAAGAAAUCGAGGAAAACCAUUUUGAACUGCUGUUACUUAAUAGCUGUUAGAGCGGAUCCAGUUCUUUAUCAAUGGUAUACGCUGGGACAAUUGCUGUUAAAAGUCCACAAGCCGUACUAUCUGCAAAUAUUAUGGUGGACAUCAAAAAGCUUUAAAUGGAAUGAAACUUGCAGGAAAAGACUCAGACAGUACUUAAUAGCUGUUGAAAAGUGGUCGCAGUCCUUUAUCAAUGAUAUCUCUGCAUUUUCUUAACAAUGGAUAUCAACAGUUGCUCCUACUCCUCACUUUCCUUUUCAAUGCCUCACCAAGGUUCACUCCUCAAUGCCUCACCAAGGUUCGUUAGCUUCAUUAAUAGUGUUAUUGUUUCAAUAAAUUUGUUUAUUGGUUUUUAUCCUCUUACUAUAUAAUUAGAUCAGGCGUCAUUUUAAUGUUAAUUUUUGGUAAAAUUUUGUUAAUCUGGAUAAAAACCUUUUUUUUCUUAAGCUUUUGCAAUAUAAAACACUAGUUAAGAGCAAUACACUUUAUUUUAUGAAUAGGACCAUUAUCUCUGUUGAUAUUGUCUUUAUAUGUAUGCUUUGUGUUGCCUCUAGUUUGAGGGAUGUUUGAUUAAUUUUAAAUCAUUCAAAUCAAUGCAAUAAUCUUUAUGGAGGAUAUGUUGAGCAACAUAAUACUAAUCUGUUAUA
rnacentral:lncRNA from 1 species